rnacentral:rRNA from 1 species
GUGUCAGCAGCCGCGGUAAUACAGAGGUCUCGAGCGUUGUUCGGAUUCAUUGGGCGUAAAGGGCGCGUAGGCUGCGGGGCAAGUCGGGUGUGAAAUCUCAGAGCUCAACUCUGAAACUGCACUCGAUACUGCUUUGCUUGAGGACUGGAGAGGAGAUUGGAAUUCACGGCGUAGCAGUGAAAUGCGUAGAUAUCGUGAGGAAGACCAGUGGCGAAGGCGGAUCUCUGGACAGUUCCUGACGCUGAGGCGCGAAGGCCAGGGGAGCAAACGGGAUUAGAUACCCGGGUAGUCC